rnacentral:rRNA from 1 species
UCCGGGAGCUAGCACUCUGCAACUCUCACAUGAUCACCCACUGAAGCUAAGCAGGGCUGCACCUGGCCAGUAUCUGGAUGGGAGACCACAUAGGAAAGCUAAGUUGCUGCUGCAU